UCUCUGGUGGUCUAGUGGUUAGGAUUCAGAGCUUUCACUGCUGCAGCCUAGGUUCAAUCCCUAGCCCAGGAA
rnacentral:tRNA from 1 species